GGGAAAUCAGCUGGAAACUAGACAAGAAAAUAGGAGCAUCCCAAGCACGAAUGGGAUGGAGAAAUGCUUGUGCAUUGAUGCUAGGACACCACGUUCUGAGCACUUGACUCCCGUAGCACAACAGGAUGUUAUCUCAUUCCCUGUAGCCCUCAGAGCAGCUGGGCAUGCUUACAGUUUUCAACUACUACCAGCUAAGGCCAAACAAGAUCCCACGAUAAAAGUUCAAUGCCUCACAUUCCUCUUCUUAUUGCUUUCCUGAGCAGGUUCUCGUUUUAAUCAGACUUACGGUACUUUCACCCAGCUAUCUCAAAGCACAUAACAACCACUGUAAUUACUGGUAAUAAUGAGCUAAUUAAUUCAUCUGGGUAUUAUUUCUCAAGGAAUAAAUACUACUGUCCUCAGUGUGGGGAUAUGGAAACUAAGAUGUCUUCAGCUUCAUCUUUAAACGUAUGGCUUUGGACGCUGUUGCUCCAGAACUCUUCGGGACAGAUAAGACGCGUCAAAUCUUUGAUUGCUUCUGUAACUGAGCAGAGCCCUGCUCCUGUUUUCUGUCUGGUGCUGAGGGAAACAGCGACAGCUCUCCUUGAAAUAAAGCCCAAAUACGGGAA